rnacentral:rRNA from 1 species
AUUGAACGCUGGCGGCAUGCCUUACACAUGCAAGUCGAACGGCAGCACGGGAGCUUGCUCCUGGUGGCGAGUGGCGAACGGGUGAGUAAUACAUCGGAACGUACCCAGUAGUGGGGGAUAACGCACCGAAAGGUGCGCUAAUACCGCAUACGACCGAAGGGUGAAAGCGGGGGACCGUAAGGCCUCGCGCUAUUGGAGCGGCCGAUGUCUGAUUAGCUAGUUGGCGGGGUAAUAGCCCACCAAGGCGACGAUCAGUAGCUGGUCUGAGAGGACGAUCAGCCACACUGGGACUGAGACACGGCCCAGACUCCUACGGGAGGCAGCAGUGGGGAAUUUUGGACAAUGGGGGCAACCCUGAUCCAGCAAUACCGCGUGUGUGAAGAAGGCCUGCGGGUUGUAAAGCACUUUCGUUGGGAAAGAAGGCCAAGUUGCUAAUAGUAGCUUGGAUUGACGUUACCCAAAGAAGAAGCACCGGCUAACUCUGUGCCAGCAGCCGCCGUAA